rnacentral:rRNA from 1 species
UACGGAAUGUGCAAACGUUAUUCGGAAUCACUGGGCUUAAAGAGUCCGUAGGCGGCAUGUUAGGUGAGGUGUGAAAUCCCCCGGCUCAACCGAGGAAUUGCGCUUCAAACCCGGCGUGCUAGAGGAAGAUAGAGGUGGGCGGAACUGAUGGUGGAGCGGUGAAAUGCGUUGAUAUCAUCAGGAACACCGGAGGCGAAGGCGGCCCACUGGGUCUUUUCUGACG